rnacentral:rRNA from 1 species
UUCUUUGCCUGGAGGUUACGUCCAUACAGUUAUAAGCAAGUGGAAUGUUAGAAGCAAACACUAGCGGUGGAAUACAUUGUUUCAUUCGAUAGUAAACGCUAUACCUUACCAAUCUAUUUGAA